CUCAACUGGUAUAUUUCCUUCGCACGUGCCCUUGUAUUGAUUUACUCCUAGUUCUCGAGCGUAUUAUUAGAUAUUUGUUAUUAAGAAUUUAUAUUACGUAUAAAAAAAAUUAGAUCGCGCGCGCGCGCUACGCAAAGCGAUAGCGAUAAUGUUCAUUCGGAACGUAGAGUAAUACGCGUGGUGCGUAUACUGGGGAGGAGAUAUCCCCUGACGGAUACAUUCUACAAGUAUCUUGACAUCGGGGUUCGAAUCGGUGGUUCCUGCGACGUGGAGCUGGCUAUAGGAGACUCUCGUGAAAACGAGAGAUCUUCUACGAAAGAGGCAUAACAUUCUGCAGAUUUAUGCUGAUACAUCGGGAACCUCGAACGAGCCGAUAAACAUUUAAUGAUGUAACAGUUAAAUUCCGACAACUAAACGACGUAAACCUAGUAAAACUCUCAAAUUCUACCGUCUGUAUGUUCAUGAGUGAAACAACCGGACAAAAGUUGUUCGCUUUCGAAUAUUGUAUCGAUCACAUGUACGGUUGGCUGUCUGAAAACUUGUACCUGGUAGAAUCUAAGUACAACAAGUUUAUAGAAAUAAUACAAAAUGCUGAAAUUAAGGAUUAUGCAAAGGCAAUUGUUGAACAUGAAAAUUUUGAGUGUCAUUCAUUGAUUGACUCUGAAUUGUUAGCAUUAGGUUUAGAUGUAAUGGUGGAAUACAGUUAUCAAUAAAAAAAAAUAGCU